ensembl:antisense AI847159 expressed sequence AI847159
CUCUGCUCUUUAGGACAGAGCUUUCUAUCUUAAGGUCCCAACAAGUGCUUUUUGGUGUCGGUGCUAGAGUUUCAUGUUUGCUGAGCAAGUGCUCUACCGCCGAGCUGCAUCUCCAAACCCACACAGGAAGCCUUGUAAAAAACUGAAAUGAAAGAAAAUACCAGAGCACAUUCAACAAUGUUACUUCUCAUCAGGCAUUUGGUCACAGAGAUGAAGAAAUGACUCUAACAGGGUAUUUGACCAUUAACUCUGCCGUACGGAGGAAGAAGAGAUUUGAUGUGGAUACCUCAGUCAGCUUUUCGUUGCCAUAACGAAUAACUUCACGGGCUUACUUAUGAAGGCAAGGAGGUUUAGUCCUUAUGUCUAAGGACUAAAUUUAGACAGCUUAUGUCUUGGAGAUCCAAGGUGUAGCCUCCCCCAGCCUUGAACAAGCUGAUUCAGACCUUUGUUGCCACUGUGAAUGAGACCACCUGGGGUGGAGCCUUCCUACCUAGAUGGUUCUAUUGCUCUGUCACCUGCAAUGCUCUUCUCCAAGACACCACUACCCGUUGAGAGGCUGAACCUGUCUUCCUGAGAUAUUCCUGUGAUAGCCGACAACCAGUGGACUUGGCGACCUAAUGCUAACAGCUCUGGCAGACUAGUGCUAACAACUUGGCAACAAAGCAUCAAGAAGCCUGGUGUGGCAGGGGAUGGGCCUCCCCACUUUAUAAGCACAGACUCUUAGUAAACUUUGGGGCCUUGAUCAGAAAU